UGCACUAUCGGGUGGCUACGGAUGAUUGCAAUUGCCAUCGGAUGGUUGUGAGCCGUCCCAAGGAGAUCAAAGGCAUGAUCUGACGCGAUGGGACACGAUCUAACGGUCAGUCUUCGAUCUAAGACACGAUCGGAUGAUGCAGAGGUUCUUGCAGUGCUGAUCAGACGAUCGAGAAGCUGUUAGAGUCCUGAUCGAGAUGCAACUCCGAUGCUGUUUGGAUUUUAGGGCCUUUAAGAGGUCCUGUAGGUGAAACAUCAGAGACCUGAGUGCAGUGCGUGGCUUUGGUGGAUCAACAGAGGAUCCUGAGUAGAAGCAGUAGUUGAGAGCAGAGGGAGCAGCAGGAGGCCCUGGAGAGAUGCCGACAGAGAAUAAG
rnacentral:lncRNA from 1 species